CCUACGGGAGGCAGCAGUGAGGAAUAUUGGUCAAUGGGCGUAAGCCUGAACCAGCCAAGUCGCGUGAGGGAUGAAGGUUCUAUGGAUCGUAAACCUCUUUUAUAAGGGAAUAAAGUGUGGGACGUGUCCUGUUUUGUAUGUACCUUAUGAAUAAGGAUCGGCUAACUCCGUGCCAGCAGCCGCGGUAAUACGGAGGAUCCGAGCGUUAUCCGGAUUUAUUGGGUUUAAAGGGUGCGUAGGCGGCCUUUUAAGUCAGCGGUGAAAGUCUGUGGCUCAACCAUAGAAUUGCCGUUGAAACUGGGAGGCUUGAGUAUGAUUGAGGCAGGCGGAAUGCGUGGUGUAGCGGUGAAAUGCUUAGAUAUCGCGCAGAACCCCGAUUGCGAAGGCAGCCUGCCAAGCCAUGACUGACGCUGAUGCACGAAAGCGUGGGGAUCAAACAGGAUUAGAUACCCCAGUAGUC
rnacentral:rRNA from 1 species